rnacentral:lncRNA from 1 species
GGAACGAUACAUGAUAGGGUCUCUAAACCCAAAUCUCAACCUCACCUUCCAAAUACUAAACUCUAAAGUUUAAUCACUAAACCCUAAAUGAAUAAACUAACAUUUAGGCUUCAUAUUAUCCGGUUAUACCCUCCACAUAUGCAAGUUGCCGGUACAAAAGAAGAAAGAAAUGACCCAAAGAAAGAAGAAAGACACAUCACUGAUUAAUAAAACUAAACCUAAAUUAAGGAAGCAUAAACCCAAAUAGAAUAUAUAUAAUAUGAUUUACUAAACCCAAACCUCUACUUACUAAAUCUAAACCCUAUGCAUAAACUUAUAAACUCAAAUACAAUCUAUAAAUUAUUUCCCAAUAUUGGACACUUGAAGGCACAUUUUGAAUAUUAAACCCUAAACUGAUAUCACUAAACCCAAACUUUAACCCCACACCUUCCAAAUACUAAACUCUAAACUCUAAUGACUAAAUCCUAAACCCAACUAUAGACCCUAAACCCAAAUAGAAUGAAAUAAAAUAAAUAGUAUAGUACAUAUUGGUGAACAAAAUAGAACACUCUUUAUUAAUCGUCAAAUGAAACGAUACAUUUUCACUAAACCCAAAUUCCAACCCCGCCCUUCUAAAUACUAAACCCUAAAUCUUAAUCACUAAACCCUAAACCCAAGUAUAAACCCUAAACUCUAAACCUAAAUCUCAAAAUCUAAUACUGACCUCAAACUCACCCAUAUUACUCUAAAUACUAAACCCUAAUCACUAAUUACUAAACCCUAAACUCAAAUAUAAUUAAGGAAGCCUAAACCCAAAUAGUAUACAUAUAAUAUGGUUUACUAUACUCAAACCUCUACUUAGUAAAACUAAACCCUAGGCAGGAACCUAUAAACCCAAAUACAAUCUAUAAAUUUUUUUCCAAUAUUGGACACUUGAAGGCACAUUUUGAAUAUUAAACCCUAAACUGAUAUCACUAAACCCAAACUUUAACCCCACACCUUCCAAAUACUAAACUCUAAACUCUAAUGACUAAAUCCUAAACCCAACUAUAGACCCUAAACCCAAAUAGAAUGAAAUAAAAUAAAUAGUAUAGUACAU